ACAGCAUUGGAUAAUCCUUUAUACUCCACAUGAGGUUGUGUGUGUAUACAGAAGAAUCAAAUGUCUCAGGUCAGAGCUCUUUGAGAAGACAGAAAUUUAUUACUCUCUUCACAAACAGCUUUAAGUUCUGCUCUGUGUAGGCUAAGUCACAGAGCUAGUGGGAUUUUUUGUCUGCUUCUUGCCUUCUGUGAGAUGAAUGGAUGGAUGUUGCUUUUAUUCACAGACUGUGUAUGCAUUUGAAUAAGACCUUGGCUAACUUUCCUUUUUCUUGGCUACAGCUCAAGCCCUUGAACUUCUGAUACUGUUUUACCUUGCUGGAUCUGUUUCAAGAUUAAAAUGCAAAGACCGUCAGCUUUUCAACAGGAAUAGGCUUCAAGUUUUACUCAGAGAACACACUAACAAGAUGAUUUACCUUCUGCCCUAAUUAUUUUCCUCCUAAAAAUGUUUGUCAUUUGACCAAUAGCAUAAGUAACAAAUGAGCAACCAACCUAGAUAAAUAGUUGAAACUCAACAGUCAAAACAAAUAGUCUCAGACUGAACUUUAUUGGCCUCAGCAAUUUAGCAAAUACAAAUAAUGCGUUACUUGUGAAGACGGUGAAUUGAAUGUGUGCCCAGUCUGAGACAACAAAGGUGGGCUUAUGCAUGCCACUGUGCUGUCAGGCAGCAUUUUCUGGGUGAAAUUCUGGGCUUUUAUCUCCUUAAAGAUCGAGCCUGUGAAAUGACGUAAAGCUGAGACAGGUGCUUUAACUUCACUUUUGUCCUCUGCUUGGGGAUUACAUCUCCCCUGCCCCUACAAGUGACCUCGGACCUUCCUCUCCCCUCCUGGGUGUGGUGGCCUGGCCCUUCUACCUCCUCACGAGGAGGCUACUUCAUGCUGGUCUUCUUUCUGCUCUUGCAGUAGUUUUUAGGCUCCCUAGAUAUAUUAGCCUUGAGGGCUUGCCUGCAUUCAAUAUCGUUACUAAUACAGCUGCCUAAUUGGAGACAUAGACUGUAUGUAGGGGUAAGCUGCCUUCUACACCUGAAUGUGUUCCUUCAGCACAAACUGGUGCUGUUUGUACAUGACGUUGCAUUGGGUGGUGUAAACAUCACCAGAAAUACUGCAGAAGUUUCCAACUCCCAGCUUCCCAGAAGUUUCCUCUGGCUUUCCUCCCCUGGCACACAGCCAGGGUGCUGUCCUGCCUGCCCCUGUCCCGAGCUGUCUUCUGGGUUCCUGUGCCCUUAACUUCAGAGCUGGAGAUGAAAUUCUGAAAAGACUCAGCAGGAGAGAUAGAAGGAAGGGGCAUCUUUAGCCUUUAAUUGAGGUUCCGGUCUUGUAUUCAAUACCUGUGGAGCUCUACACAGUGCCCAGCACUGAAGAAUUGCAUUGGGAGCACUGUGACAGUGGUGCCCUCCCUGGCAGGAGUACCCCCACCAAUUGAACUUUCUUGUUUCCAUCACAAAAUUCAUGGGGGGACAGAAGAGGUCCAUCUGCAGCUGGCAUCACUGAAGCAUUUUCUCUUAAGAGCAGUGAUAAAGACA
rnacentral:lncRNA from 1 species